ACACGAGUGUGCAUAUACAGGGGUAUACAUACAGACAUAGAACGCAGUGUACAUACACAGCAGUGUACGAACACAAGGAUUGCGUUCCACUGCGAACACGCACGAUUGUACCUGCACACAUACACACACACAUACCUAUACGGGUUUUCAUUCUCAGAAGAAGAGCCACUCCAUGUUGUUUGGCAUUCCCCUGCCACGAAUAAAGUUCUGUAUUAACAACCUUCAACUUCAUCGGCGUUCCCGGUCGGUAACGCUGUGGUGGAUAAGAGCAAUGUCCUUGAGGGAAGUCUCGUAGCCACCACAGCGGCCCACGAGGUCUCUGGACGGGUGCGAGGUGCUGGUAACACCUCCAUAUUCAAUGCAGUUACCGUAACAAAAACACGUCCAAAAUAUAAAACACGUGCAUAAAUAUUGAGCACAUACACAAGAGUAUACAUACACACUGAAGACUAAAUAUGGAUGAUUGAUGUUUUUUUGCGGUACGUUAUGUUAAACCACGCUUACAAAGCUAAACCAUUCAGAUGAUUACUCAAAGUUUAUGACGGAAAUUAUAACAUAACAACCUCGUUUUCUAGAAACACCCCGCUCAACACAGGUGUCCUUAAAUAUAUUUAUGAAACAAAGUCAGUACAGUAUAAAUUUGCACCUCUUAGUCCAAAUAAAACUCUUUAUGUUGAUAAUUCACACUGUGAUUCGCUUUAAAAUCCUGAAAAUCUUGCAGCAGUGUAGAGGACAUUGCGGGGUGAAUAUUAGCAAAUUAGCAGGAACCUCAGAAUAAUGCUUGGAGAUGUACAUCUUUAUUCAAACGGAAGCGUACAAUAAUGCAGUGGGAUGUACAUACUUAUUAAGGUUUAAGUACAAUGUGCCAGAUUAGCUAAGCUAGGUUGAUUGAUCUCCGGAUUGUUAAUGUAAAAAUUAACAAUUGAAUGCAAAGUCCAUGAUAGGCCAAAUCGAGAACAAAGGAUUUGGAUGCUAGAGGGGAGUUAUAAGGGGCUUAAAAUCAGACCUCAAGACCAUUUGGAGAGGAAUUUUCCUGAGGAUAGACGCUCGACUCAUCGCUCUGCAGAUUUCCCUUCUCCUGCGAGACUCAGCCUGGCGAGCACGAUUGCUUGGCGACUGGUUGGCGACUUUGCUUCGGGAGAGUUCGUGGCGAUCUCUUCAGACGGGUUACAGGGUCAUCGAUACACCGUGCAUCAACAAGUGGAUACUGAGAAAUGGCUGCUGGAGUGGCUGGAGGGUCAAAGUAUUGAGAACUUAUGUUAACUCUUGAAGUCCUGGAAUGUGCAUGUUUGUGUCUCUGUUAAAUCAAUCGAUAAGGUACACAGUAUUACUUCCUUGAUUUGCAGUACUCCAAGCUCGAAUGAUGUUGUGAAUGCUCUAUGAAGUGUUCGGGAAAAAAAGUCUUCCUUUUAAGUUCCAGAAGUGUUCACUUAUUUCAGGAUGACAACAAUUUUAUACUUCGAUAGAUGCGUUGCUUCGUCCGGUGGUUGUAUCAUCGGCACUGUUAAAUGUGUGGUGUUUAUGGUAGAAGGUGCCACGUGUUGUCAUCUUCUCACAGCUACUUGAGUGUUGAAGUUCCUUCUAGACUUCGUCACGUUAAGGUGGUGCUUUGUAGUCAUAUCGGAUUACUUGUUGAUGUGGUGUGAUACACAGUGGUUGUGAGGUGGUCCAAUUCCUGAUUUUACUGUCGUGACUACGUGGCCUUGUUGAGCUAAAGUUGGAGAAAGACUGUGAUCAUAAAGUUGCCCUAUAUUUUAAAUAUUUUCUUUAAUUUUCUUUAUUGUUUGAUUAAAAAAAACUUCUUCAAAGUGUCGGUUUCAGAAUGUGCGUUCGUUGUUCCUGUGUUUGAUGGCUUGGACUUGUGGACGAAUGGCUUCAGUCGAUAAGGACGUCAAUUGGGAAUGAUUAAGACGUUCACGUGUUUGAUUUUGAGAAUAUUUUAUGACUGUUGAAUUAAUGAAAGUGAAAUUAUUUUCAUAGUUCCUCAACUGUUUGAAAAAGCGAAUUAAUAAAGAUUAAUAAAGACCUGAUUUGUGUUCUUAAAGAUGACUGAUCGUACAUUAUUGCUACCAUUUUCUUCCUUAAAAAGAAUAUGGACAAGUAGCCAUGCACACACGAGUGUGUAUCCUAACACGACUGUAUAUAUACAGCGGUGUGCAUUCACGCACGAGUGUGCAUAUACAGGGGUGUACAUACAUACUUUGAGAUGACCACUCAAAGUUUAUGACGGAAAUGAUAACAUAUCAACCUUGUUUUCUAGAAACACCCCGCUCAACACGAGUGUCCUUCAAUAUAUUUAUGAUACAAAGUCAGUACACUGUAAAUUUGCACCUCGUUGUCCAAAUCAAACUGGACAACAGCAUUUUGAUUCUUUAGACUAUAUGUCGUUGUUUAAUCCUUUAAACUUGCAGCAGUGUAGAGGACAUUGCGGGGUGAAUAUUAGCAAAUCAACAGGAAGCACUGAAUUAUGCUUGGAGAUGUACAUCUUUAUUCAAACGGAAGUGUACAAUUAUGCAGUGGGAUGUACAUACUUAUUAAGGCUUAAUCUAAAUGGCCAGAUUAGCUAAGCUUUGUUGAUUUAUAUGCGGAUUGUAAAUGUUACAAAUCUACAAUUGAAUGCAAAGUCCAUGAUAGGCCAAAUCGAGAACAAAGGAUUUGGAUGGUAGAGGGGAGUUAUAAGGGGCAUAAAAUCAGACCUCAAGAUCAUUUCGAGAGGAAUUUUCCUGAGGAUAGACGCUCGACUCAUCGCUCUGCAGAUUUCCCUUCUCCUGCGAGACUCAGCCUGGCGAGCACGAUUGCUUGGCGACUGGUUGGCGACUUUGCUUCGGGAGAGUUCGUGGCGAUCUCCUUAGACGGGUAACAGGGUCAUCGAUACACCGUGCAUCAACAAGUGGAUACUGAGAAAUGGCUGCUGGAGUGGCUGGAGGGUCAAAGUAUUGAGUACUUCUGUUAACUCUUGAAGUCCUGGAAUGUGCAUGUUUGUGUCUCUGUUAGAUCAAUCGAUAAGGUACACAUUAUUACUUCCGUGAUUUCCAGUACUCCAAGCUAGAGUGAUGUUGUGAAUGCUCUAUGAUGUGUUCGGGAAAAAAGUCUUCCUUUUAAGUUCCAGAAGUGUUCACUUAUUUCAGGAUGACAACAAUUUUAUACUUCCAUAGAUGCGUUGCUUCGUCCGGUGGUUGUAUAAUCGGCACUGUUAAAUGUGUGGUGUUUAUGGUAGAAGGUGCCACGUGUUGUCAUCUUCUCACAGCUACUUGAGUGUUGUAGUUUAUUCUAGACUUCG